rnacentral:tRNA from 1 species
AAGGGGAGAAACAUAAGAGGAUGUGUGACUGGCUUGAAACCGGUUAGAGGUGGUUCGAGUCCCCCCUCCCUUG